ensembl:lncRNA
CAAUUAACUCACCAACUCAAUCUCCUGAUUACUAAUUAUCACCAGCUGAUCACUCCAGCACCAUACAUAAGGACUUGCCACACACACAAACACUUUGUCUGGUCUUGCCUAUGGCUAAGACUGCAUCUGUUCCGUUUGUUACUUACCUGAAGAUUACUUACCUCCUUGAUCCUCUCCUCGUCCUGGUUUCCAGUCUUCAACACCUCUUCUCCUUCCAGUCUCUUGGUGAUCCUCCUACAGGCAACAGGAAAGUGUUCAGUAUUUCUCAGUGACUGUUUACUAUUGUGUGUGUGGCUACUCACCAUUCUUCUCCCAACGCUGUAUUAUCACCUGCUCUGCUGCUAUAUUUCAUUCAACUCAUUUAAUAGUGUUUCUGGAUUGUUUGAAAACUUGCCGGUCUGUCCAGUGUGUGUUUCCCUGACAGAAGACCAGACUGAAAACCGAAUCCGGCAGCAUGAGCACUUCACAACACUAACCAUUUCAGGAAUUGGUGGAUUUGCUUCCCCAGUCUCUCUCUCACCCAACCACCAUUUACACCAGUCACUGCACCGAGCACUUCUUCGACCUCAUUGACCUUUGAGUGUUGUCCAAGCAAACUAUUUCCACCUCCAGAAGACCCCAUGUGAAAGACAUAAAGCCCAAGCCAUCACUGGAAACCCCUGAACCGUGCAGACAUCCGGUAUAGAGUGGGUCCAGUUCUUUCAUGUGUUGGAAUCCUUCACUAGGAGGAAAUUCACUUAGUGGUUCUGGAGAAUUCCACUGCUGGUGUCAUCCUACGGCAACUGUGGUUAAUACAACAUCCAGAACUCUCUUGGGAAAAUGGUGAGAGAAAGAAAUGGAGCAAGUGAUGUUUGCCUAUGUAACCACUUCAACUCUAGAAGGGGCAGUGAUCAGUAGUAGUCUACUCUACCUCCAUUGAGAGUCCCGUGAGUGAGCAAUCCGUUGACAUCAAUGACUUAUACUCCCAGUUCAAAGAUGUCUUCUGUCCCAAGAGAGCUUCCCAGUUACCACCACACCGACCAUGGGACUGUGCUAUUGAUCUUCCAUGUGGACCAGUACACAGAGGCAAAAUCUAUCCUUUGACACUACCUGAACAAGACGCCAUGGAGUACAUUUGGAAGGACUUACAGCAAGGUAACAUCAGACCAUCUACGUCCCCUGCUGCUUUUAGGUUCUUUGUGGCAAAAAAGGAUGGAGGCUUGCAGUCCUGCAUUGAUUGAGCCCUCAAAAUGAUCAUAGUUAAAUUCAGAUACCCCCUUCCUCAUCCCAGCUGCCUUAGAACAUCUAAGGGAAGCCAAGGUUUUCACCAAGAUUUGGACCUCCAACCUUUUGCAGGAGAAAAAAGGUGAAUGUCCUUGCAUGGCCUAGUCAGAGCCCAGACUUAAACUCCACUGAAAAUCUAUGGAUUGACUUGAUGACUGCAGUCCACAAAUGGUCACCAUCAAAUUUAACUGAACCUGAGCAGUUCUGCAAAGAAGAGUGAGCAAAUAUUGUGAAGUCUAGAUGUGCAAAGUUAGUAGAGACUAGUCACAACAGACUAAAGGCUGUAAAUAAAGCAAAAGGUGGUUCAACAAAAUACUGACACAAG